GACGAACGCUGGCGGCGUGCUUAACACAUGCAAGUCGAACGAAGUGGCGCACGGGUGAGUAACGCGUAAUCACCCUGCCCUUCAGAGGGAGACAACAGUUGGAAACGACUGCUAAUACCGCAUACUGAAGGAGGGGUUUGCGUCUGAUUAGCUAGUUGGAGGGGUAACGGCCCACCAAGGCGAUGAUCAGUAGCCGGUCUGGGAGGAUGAACGGCCAAAUUGGGACUGGGGAACGGCCCAGACUCCUAAGGGGGGCAGCAGGGGGGAAUCUUCCGCAAUGGAGGAAAGUCUGACGGAGCAACGCCGCGUGGGUGAUGACGGCCUUCGGGUUGUAAAGCUCUGUUAAUCGGGACGCGGUACCGGAAUAGAAAGCCACGGCUAACUCCGUGCCAGCAGCCGCGGUAAUAC
rnacentral:rRNA from 1 species